rnacentral:rRNA from 1 species
GAUGAACGCUGGCGGCGUGCCUAAUACAUGCAAGUCGAGCGAACAGACGAGGAGCUUGCUCCUCUGACGUUAGCGGCGGACGGGUGAGUAACACGUGGAUAACCUACCUAUAAGACUGGGAUAACUUCGGGAAACCGGAGCUAAUACCGGAUAAUAUAUUGAACCGCAUGGUUCAAUAGUGAAAGACGGUUUUGCUGUCACUUAUAGAUGGUUCCGCGCCGCAUUAGCUAGUUGGUAAGGUAACGGCUUACCAAGGCAACGAUGCGUAGCCGACCUGAGAGGGUGAUCGGCCACACUGGAACGGAGACACGGUCCAGACUCCUACGGGAGGCAGCAGUAGGGAAUCUGCCGCAAUGGGCGAAAGCCUGACGGAGCAACGCCGCGUGAGUGAUGAAGGUCUUCGGAUCGUAAAACUCUGUUAUUAGGGAAGAACAAAUGUGUAAGUAACUAUGCACGUCUUGACGGUACCUAAUCAGAAAGCCACGGCUAACUACGUG